AUUGAACGCUGGCGGCAGGCCUAACACAUGCAAGUCGAGCGGAUGAAGGGAGCUUGCUUCUGGAUUCAGCGGCGGACGGGUGAGUAAUGCCUAGGAAUCUGCCUGGUAGUGGGGGAUAACGUCCGGAAACGGGCGCUAAUACCGCAUACGUCCUGAGGGAGAAAGUGGGGGAUCUUCGGACCUCACGCUAUCAGAUGAGCCUAGGUCGGAUUAGCUAGUUGGUGGGGUAAAGGCCUACCAAGGCGACGAUCCGUAACUGGUCUGAGAGGAUGAUCAGUCACACUGGAACUGAGACACGGUCCAGACUCCUACGGGAGGCAGCAGUGGGGAAUAUUGGACAAUGGGCGAAAGCCUGAUCCAGCCAUGCCGCGUGUGUGAAGAAGGUCUUCGGAUUGUAAAGCACUUUAAGUUGGGAGGAAGGGCAGUAAGUUAAUACCUUGCUGUUUUGACGUUACCAACAGAGUAAGCACCGGCUAACUUCGUG
rnacentral:rRNA from 1 species